CUACGGGGGGCUCCAGUGGGGAAUCUUGGACAAUGGGCGAAAGCCUGAUCCAGCCAUGCCGCGUGAGUGACGAAGGCCUUAGGGUUGUAAAGCUCUUUUGCCGGGGACGAUAAUGACGGUGCCCGGAGAAUAAGUCCCGGCUAACUUCGUGCCAGCAGCCGCGGUAAUACGAAGGGGACUAGCGUUGUUCGGAAUUACUGGGCGUAAAGCGCACGUAGGCGGAUUUAUAAGUCAGGGGUGAAAUCCCGGGGCUCAACCUCGGAACUGCCUUUGAUACUGUAGAUCUCGAGUCCGAUAGAGGUGGGUGGAAUUCCUAGUGUAGAGGUGAAAUUCGUAGAUAUUAGGAAGAACACCGGUGGCGAAGGCGGCCCACUGGAUCGGUACUGACGCUGAGGUGCGAAAGCGUGGGGAGCAAACAGGAUUAGAUACCCUUGUAGUC
rnacentral:rRNA from 1 species